AAGCACAGGCCCGGGACCGGAGGGCAGGAGUGAAAGGGGAGAGAACCAUCCCGCAAGGCAGUCAGCCACACCUGCCGAGCCCUUCUUGGUGCCCAGAGGGCAGGACGCCUUCUCUGAAGUUAGAGAUUAGCAUUUCAGCGGAAGGCCUCAGCCUCCAACCAGGGCGGUCGGUGGCCUGUGAUCAGGCUGGCCAGUGACAGGUCAGACACGGAACAUCCUCACGGCCACAAGGCUGAGCCCCCAGGUGUGCCCGAGCCCCAUACCUGGUACGCAUGGUCGGCCUGAAUGUGCCAGAAGGAGCCAGGAGCUGACUUGCUGAGAGCUGCACCCGAAGGCAGCAUUCAACAGCAUUCAGCCCGAAAUGAACACCUCCGACAACGGGAAGCUCACUACUCCAUGGGCAGACAUUUCCGUUGCUGGACAGCCCUGCCAGCUACAAAACCCGUUUUCAUAGUGAACUGAAGGCUGUUCUCCCUGUAUUUAGGGUUAAAAGGAAACCUACAGCUCAGCCGGUUCGGUGUAAUCAUUGUACAGAUAAGGAAUUCUGUAAUGUAUAAUCAUUCUACAGAUGAGAGAUCGGAAACUAGAGGGGAUAAAGCAAUUGUUCUAUCCACUGGUCAUAUUCCAACACUGGGAGCAAAAGUGAGUAAAUCUACUCUUUCCGAUACCUGAUGAUAAUCAUGAAAGCACUGUUAUGUACCCACCGCAUGAGCGUACGCACUCCAGUCAUUCCUGAU